AUUGAACGCUGGCGGCAUGCCUUACACAUGCAAGUCGAACGGUAACAGGGAGCUUGCUCCGCUGACGAGUGGCGAACGGGUGAGUAAUGUAUCGGAACGUACCAUUCAGUGGGGGAUAACGUAGCGAAAGUUACGCUAAUACCGCAUAUUCUGUGAGCAGGAAAGCAGGGGAUCGCAAGACCUUGCGCUGAUUGAGCGGCCGAUAUCAGAUUAGCUAGUUGGUGAGGUAAAGGCUCACCAAGGCGACGAUCUGUAGCGGGUCUGAGAGGAUGAUCCGCCACACUGGAACUGAGACACGGUCCAGACUCCUACGGGAGGCAGCAGUGGGGAAUUUUGGACAAUGGGGGCAACCCUGAUCCAGCCAUGCCGCGUGAGUGAAGAAGGCCUUCGGGUUGUAAAGCUCUUCGGCCGGGAAAAAUCGCAUCAGUUAAUACCUGGUGUGGAUGAUGGUACCGAAUAAGAAGCACGGCUAACUACGUG
rnacentral:rRNA from 1 species